rnacentral:rRNA from 1 species
UACGUAGGGUGCGAGCGUUAAUCGGAAUUACUGGGCGUAAAGCGUGCGCAGGCGGUUGGGUAAGACAGAUGUGAAAUCCCCGGGCUUAACCUGGGAACUGCAUUUGUGACUGUCCGACUGGAGUACGUCAGAGGGGGGUGGAAUUCCACGUGUAGCAGUGAAAUGCGUAGAUAUGUGGAAGAACACCGAUGGCGAAGGCAGCCCCCUGGGACGCAACUGACGCUCAUGCACGAAAGCGUGGGGAGCAAACAGG